UGACAACACUGUCUCAAACUCUGUACCAGGCGGUGUAUGUAGUUGGUAUUUGUUUACCCAUGAUGCACCUCCAGAGAAUGGAGAGGUAAAGGUUGUGUUCCCUGAUCAGACGUUGCAUGCAUCAACCAAUGUUUGUAUGCCACGUCAUCGACUGUCUGGCAACAGAUUACUGGAGCAUAUUAUGUGUUUAGCUGAUGCGUAAAAUACUUAUCCAGGCGUUGUAAGAUCUGGCAUGAGUCAGCAAUGUCUGUGUCGAUACCAAAAUCUUUGGGUGUGCACGUUUUGCAAAGCAGGGAGACGCCGAAGUAAUUGAUUGCUAUACAGCUGGGAGCGGUGGAUGUCAUAACUAAAUAAAACAACAGAAGAAAAUAAAUGAUCGGUCUGUGGCGAGGGAGGAGCUGGUUUUUAAAUAUUGUGUAUAUUUAUUUCUUGUGAACAAAUUUCCAUUUGUUACCAAUGUCAAUUCUUAAUUUUUUCAACAUACUUUUAUUUUUGUUUUCUGGACAGGCGAACGCUGCCAAAUACUAAACAGUAAACCAAUAAAAAAUGGUGAACUAUCCAGCAGGGGUGUGGUGCUGCCGGAGUGCUUUUUUCAAUUUGAGAAUACACAGAGCUGGUAAAACUAUUUCUGGAAAAUGUUAUCUAAAUAAAUGAUAUUUCAUUUCCACAAAAAUUCCAUGAAAAACGAUAGAAUGACAAACCAAAUAAACAUGUAUAUCAGUCUAGAAGUAUAAAAUUGUGGUUUCUUCCCUGUCUUCUCUCUGGCACUUUUGAGAAUGUUGAAGAACUAUAGGCUACAAGUGUGUGCACGACAGAAGACCGUCUGAGGCUUGACCACUUUGGCUAAUUCGAACGUUGAAAAAAAAUCCUAAUUCACUAUAUGUUUGCCUUUAUAAAAUAAUACUCUACGGACCCCUCUUGCGCAUUGGAACCCAGAACGACACCGUUCGACCAAGGACACCCAAACCAGAGUGGCCACCACAAAUCUCAAGGAGCCUGAUCCUCUCUGGAAGUUGCUGUAUCUCUGCUUGGGAUAUUUAGCCUACAUGGGCUAUUGUUUGAGACACAGGGCCCAUUCUAGCUUGGUAUGUCAGGGUGGGAAAUUGGAAAUGUGAAUUGGGCCAAGUUGGAGGUCAUAAUGCAUUUAGAUUAUAGUUUAUUGCGAUGCAUGAAUACACAACACCAAAAGCUUGAUUUUAUGGCUGUUUUAAAAGGAAUUUCCUGCAUUUCUACGUAGUAAUGAUUUAUGUUCACUAAUUGGUCAAUUGAUAUGAUAGCAUGUUUAAUCUAUGCAAAUAAAUUCUAUGAAUUGUU